UCACCAAAGCAACCAGGGUCUGUGGAUGCAAAGGGAGACCAUCAACAGAGCAGCACACCCAGGUGACAGGGCAAUCAGCCAGAUCAGGCAUCAGAUAAAAGCCACUUCUAAGUCAGAGUUAAACAGCCAGACCGUAUUUUGCCGAGCAUAUUGGAAGGAAGCAGAGCAAGCUAAAUUUAAAUUCAGCUUUGAAGACUUGCAGAUGUAAAGACUGAACGCUCCAAAAUGUGGGUAGCGAAAGGAGAAGGCUACGCCAGAGCCCCUAAUGCUGAGCAGCAAGGCAGGAGAUGCAGGGAGCCCACUUGAACCUGAACCUGAGCCCAGCGGAGGAAACACAGCCAGGUGCAUCACAGGAAGGCUGGCUGCAGCUAUGCGGGAGACAACGGGGGAGAUUCCUUGAAUACCUGCCUGCAAACCAAGUCAUCUUCAACCAGAGGUGAUUUUGCUCCUCUCUGCCCGUUGCACUGGUCUUUCCUUCUGCCUAAUUUCCCUGGCUAAACCACUGCCAUGGCAUUGCACAGACAGCAAGAGCCGGCGUCAGUCUGGCUUGGACUUGGCGUGGAAGCACUCAGUCUUUCUCCAGACACUCCAAACAUCCAGAAUAAACAGAGGAUACCGAGCAUAUUCUGACACUGCUAUUUUGUCAGUACAAGGUGACAUUAAUAACAGAUGUGUAGUAGAUAGACUCUAAGAUACACUGAGCACGAUAGAAAUCUGAAGAUGAAUUCUCUGACUGGCACCUGCUUUCCAAGGGAAGCUGCCUGCUACAGGGAAGGUGUCCCGAGAAGGGAGGCCAGCUACAGGGCCAUGCAGAUGUUCAGGCAGCCUAUGGAGAAGUUCACUUGGUGAACACUGAGAUCUGCCAGCAAUCACAUGACAGCAUUGGAAAUGGACCUUCCUCCUUCUGAGGAGUAGCUAGCAGCCUUGCUGAGAAGCGACUCCUAUCCAAUUUGGACCUUGAGAUGUGGCUUUUUGGUCAUCCUCCCAAUGAAGCCCUCGGUGAGACACUGCCUGGAUGAAAGGGACGGUGGUCGAGCUUGCUGUCACCGCGCCUCUCAAGAAUGGAACAUUUUGACUGAUACCUCUGCCGUGUCAAGGAUGUGCGUGUUUAAAACCUUGUGAAACCCGAGGUGAGGCAGAAACCCGCAAGGUGCGCCUGGUUUUCCCCUUGCUAGGAAAGAAAGACCAAGCUCAGGGGCUGCUUUCAAACAUUCCUGAGCACACCGCUGGCAUGUAUUUUUCUGACUGUGUUGUGAGCAAGUGGCAGCUUCGGUGCUGGAGGAGGAGGGAAGGCUGGAAGCUCUUUCUCGGUUACCUCUUGUCAAAGCGAUAGCACCUUUCCCUACCCUUGCUGUGUGUGAAGCAUAAAUCAACGCCUCCUCUUAGAGGAGGUAGGAGACAAAGGGAGAUUAUUGAAAAUGACUGACCUUGGAAGCGGCAGAAGGGGGUUACACUAAAUCUGAACACUUCCAGGGACAAAGAAAAAAUCCUAGAAGAAAUGUAGGUUCAGAUAAGUGGAUCCUACAAGGCUGGGGUGAAUCUUUUCUGAGUUUGGAAGCUGGUCCACUGUGAGGUGCUUCCUGGAGUCUCACAUCUUCAUCCAAAGGGACAUGCUGUAAGUAUCACAGGGCUGCAGCCUGGGCCAACACCGUCACCUGUCUUUGGACACCUCUACAAUCUCCUCUAGACAGGCUAUACACAUCCAGUAACCUGGUCACCAACUGUGGAUGCUAAAUGAGCCAUUUGAGUGACAUCAGCUCGGUUUCUCCUCCUCUGUAAAGUGUUUGUUAAGCCUUGUGUGAUGAUUGGAGACGUGAAAGCAGAGAAAUGUGCUUGUCACUAUGCCUGGCCCAUAAUAGGCACUCCUUAGACGUCACCUCUUCGGACGGUUGCCACCAUCACUGCCAUCGUCCUCCUCCAGCCAUUUGAAAACGGUUAUCGCUUUCACCCUUAGUCCUAUGGCUCUUGACACACAUGGUCAGAGCUGUCCCAUUCUCUGAUUUCCCCUCAUUCCUCAUUAAAUCUUCUUUGACAUCAUGCAUCUAUCCUGCAAGAAAUCUCAGAACGGGGCAGAGUGUAUUUUCUUCCCCCUACUUUUUCUUAAAACGGAGCCAAAACAGUUUGCUCUUUCACCAGUAGAUUGCUGUUUGGACAGUCUCUACUCCACGCCAGUUUGGUUUCUAUUCUGAGCAUAACUUUAUUUUCCCCCAUUGAAGGGUGCAGCAAAACGCCUCUUUGUGCAGGGGCCAUUAAGACUGCCCAUUCUUAAAUUAGCUCGGGGAAAAAAAAAAGAAGUGCAUUUUAUAGUCAAGCCAGCAGUAAUUGAACACUGUGACUAUGAGUGGCCCUUGCGGUGUUUGGACGUGGGCCAAAUGUACCUUCUGUCUGUCUCUGACACCGGCAGACAAUAGCGGUAUUAUUUACUGCACUGGCUCUGUGCAAUUCCAAAGGCCAGCUGCGAGAACAAAAGAAUCGCUCACACUUUGCCCAGCCCUACCCUCCACCGGAGGCUCCAGCCAUGUUUUGUAAAUAAUUCACCCUGCCUCCCCAAAUGUUGAAUCAUCUAUUCUUUGCUUCUUUUCUUUGGUGCUGAUCAAGGCUGCAAAGAAAAGGCAGAUCAGUUUUCUGCAUCCUUGGAGGGGAGUGGGGUGAAGGGAGAAAUGGCCAACAGCUCUUUGUUUCCAUAUCUUGGGGUACAGAGCCACCAGGAGAGACCAGCUAGGAGGUGGGCAGCAGGCACGGGGCCUGGGGAAAGGUUGGCAAGGCUCAGCCUCUGCUGGGAAGUCGCGCUCUCCAGGAACACUGCUCAGAGUUUCGCCCGCAGAGCUUCACAAAGAGCUUCAUGUUCACCCAGGCAACACUUCCAGGUUGCCUCAUUCACGGGCAUUGGAUGAUCCUGUCACAAACAACCUGGGCUUUACACCCAUGGAGCAGGGAACAUUGCCAUCGACUUGGCUACGGAUCACAUCCAGAGCUGGAAAGUGGACCCCACUGGCUGGAAUUGCCCAGUGACAUCCCAUUAAUGUGGCGUUCACCAGCAAACAGCCUCAUCAAACAUAAGCAUGAGAGGGAGAGCCUAAGGAGCCCCCCAUCCAGCUUCAGCCACACCUCCACCUCGUAAGCAAGGGAGCCUCAAUGAAGCCUUCUGAAUCUGUCCAGAGCAAUCUGCGCCCCUUAUCACCUUUUCCCACAUUGAGCUGUGUUUUCGCACCUAUUCCUGGGUAUUCAGCUCCUGGCCCUCUGCCCAGGCAUUGGAGCCGGGCCUCUCCUGUGCCUUGGGAUCUGCUGCAUGCUGUUGCUCUGCUCAGAUGGACUGAGGGGCCUCCCUCUUGCAGGCUCGGCCAGUGCAUCUCCAGUGCAACGCCUGUCUCCAGCUGUUUGGCCAACACCUGGCCUGGUAGAGCCCAAAUCGGGCUUCUGCCAGGCCACGAGAUACACCCUGAAUCCCACAGGUUCUAGAAAUUCCACCGGGGGCACUUUCCCAAAUCAGUCAUGCUGAGGAGUCAUAAUGGCUCAUAAAUUAAAGAUUCACAGCUUUUGGACUCUGCUUUUCCCCAUUCGCUUCCCAUGCUCCCCGACACAGGCAGGGCAGGCAGCUCCCUCCCAUUCAGAGGUAAGUUUAUGUGAACUUUCAAAGAUGUUCCAUUAAAGAGAGGAGAAACAAAACCGAAGCACUGCAGCUCUGCGAAUCAGCAGGUGUUUUAGGAUUGCAGGGACAGAGAGGGUGGGAAGCGAUUGAGAACUUUUCUUACCUUGACACUGAAAUGGCUCAACUCCAGCCUCAACCAAGCUUGUGCUGAGCUGCUGGAGUUUCCUUUGACAGUAAGUGCUAGGAGGACUCGGUCUCACUGCGUUGGGCCUUCUGUGAUGGCAGGGAUGUGAUUUUCCUCACUGACCCUGCAUACUCUGGGGCUGAGCCACAUCUCCUUACAGACCAGGUAUUGAAACAAUGAGAGAAUAGACGGAUGGAUGGAUAGAUAGA